UUCCUGAGUUUAAGAGUGAGAUUCGUUGA
rnacentral:piRNA from 1 species